rnacentral:rRNA from 1 species
UCGAGAAUUUUUCACAAUGGGCGCAAGCCUGAUGGAGCGACGCCGCGUGGGGGAUGAAUGGCUUCGGCCCGUAAACCCCUGUCAUUUGCGAUCAAACCUUGCUAUUUAAAGGAUGGCGAGCUGAUAGUAGCGAGAGAGGAAGGGACGGCUAACUCUGUGCCAGCAGCCGCGGUAAUACAGAGGUCCCAAGCGUUGUUCGGAUUCACUGGGCGUAAAGGGUGCGUAGGUGGUGGGGUAAGUCGGAUGUGAAAUCUCGGAGCUCAACUCCGAAAUGGAAUUGGAAACUACCCUGCUAGAGGGGCGGAGGGGGGACUGGAAUUCUCGGUGUAGCAGUGAAAUGCGUAGAUAUCGAGAGGAACACCAGUGGCGAAGGCGAGUCCCUGGACGACUCCUGACACUGAGGCACGAAAGCUAGGGGAGCAAACA